AGAGGUCUCAAGCGUUGUUCGGAAUCACUGGGCGUAAAGCGUGCGUAGGCUGUUUCGUAAGUCGUGUGUGAAAGGCAGGGGCUCAACCCCUGGAUUGCACAUGAUACUGCGAGACUAGAGUAAUGGAGGGGGAACCGGAAUUCUCGGUGUAGCAGUGAAAUGCGUAGAUAUCGAGAGGAACACUCGUGGCGAAGGCGGGUUCCUGGACAUUAACUGACGCUGAGGCACGAAGGCCAGGGGAGCGAAAGGGAUUAGAUACCCCUGUAGUCCUGGCAGUAAACGGUGCACGCUUGGUGUGCGGGGAAUCGACCCCCUGCGUGCCGGAGCUAACGCGUUAAGCGUGCCGCCUGGGGAGUACGGUCGCAAGAUUAAAACUCAA
rnacentral:rRNA from 1 species